rnacentral:rRNA from 1 species
GAUGAACGCUGGCGGCGUGCCUAAUACAUGCAAGUCGAGCGAAUGGAUUAAGAGCUUGCUCUUAUGAAGUUAGCGGCGGACGGGUGAGUAACACGUGGGUAACCUGCCCAUAAGACUGGGAUAACUCCGGGAAGCCGGGGCUAAUACCGGAUAACAUUUUGAACCGCAUGGUUCGAGAUUGAAAGGCGGCUUCAGCUGUCACUUAUGGAUGGACCCGCGUCGCAUUAGCUAGUUGGUGAGGUAACGGCUCACCAAGGCAACGAUGCGUAGCCGACCUGAGAGGGUGAUCGGCCACACUGGGACUGGGACACGGCCCAGACUCCUACGGGAGGCGGCAGUAGGGAAUCUUCCGCAAUGGACGAAAGUCUGACGGAGCAACGCCGCGUGAGUGAUGAAGGCUUUCGGGUCGUAAAACUCUGUUGUUAGGGAAGAACAAGUGCUAGUUGAAUAAGCUGACACCUUGACGGUACCUAACCAGAAAGCCACGGCUAACUACGUGCCAGCCGCCGCGGUAA